ACCGGAUUAGAUACCCGGGUAGUCCCAGCUGUAAACGAUGCANNNNNNGUGAUGCAUUGGCUUGUGGCCCAUGCAGUGCCGCAGGGANNNCGUUAAGUCUGCCGCCUGGGAAGUACGUACGCAAGUAUGAAACUUAAAGGAAUUGGCGGGGGAGCACCACAAGGGGUGAAGCCUGCGGUUCAAUUGGAGUCAACGCCAGAAAUCUUACCUGGGGAGACAGCAGAAUGAAGGUCAAGCUGAAGACUUUACCAGACACGCUGAGAGGUGGUGCAUGGCCGUCGCCAGCUCGUGCCGUNNNNNNUCCUGUUAAGUCAGGUAACGAGCGAGACCCCUGCGUCUAGUUGCUACCAUUACUCUCUGGAGCAGUGGAGCGAAUUAGACGGACCGCCACAGUUAAUGUGGAGGAAGGAAGGGGCCACGGCAGGUCAGUAUGCCCCGAAACCCUAGGGCUACAC
rnacentral:rRNA from 1 species